UAUGGGUUAUGCUACUUUGUUUGAUUAGGCUGUUGUUCAGUAUGAUACAUUAAUUGUAAUAAGCUAGGUGUUUAUAAAUUUGUUCAAGCUUGAUGCCUUUAUUUUCUAAUAUAUAUUUCUGAAAUUCCCAUAAGGAUUUCAACAUCAUAUCUGGAAAAAAAAAAACAAAAAAAAAACAAACAAAACAAAAAAAAGUUUAUUUGUGUUUAAAUUCAAACAACAUAGACUAAACUUGAUCGGUUCCUAUGAUGAUGAGCUCGCAGCAGAGAGCUUCGUAAAUCAAAUAUGAUGUGCGUGAAAAUGUCCCUUGAAUGUGCAUAUAAGUCUAUAUUUAAACAGUAUUAUAUAGAGCGAUCGUGUCUCUUUGGGGCACUUGGAGGAAACCACGCAAUUCAUAUGGAUUACUUUGGCGAUGUUUUUUUGCGAUGAACUUUUUGAAACGUGAACAUCUUUGAUUAAUCUUUUCAUCGGAGGAACAUAAAUCUCUCAGGUUUCAUUAAAAUAGCUCCGCUUUUUUUUUUUCGAAGAUGAACAAAAGUCUUAGAUGGUUUGGAGCAUCUUAAGGGUGAGUGAUGGCAGAAUUCAAAUUGUUUUGGAGGAACUAUGAGAUUAAUUAGAAAAUAUAGCGAUGUGUUCUUAUUUUUACCAGCUUCUGCAAGUGUGUAUGGCAUCUGGCUUUAUACCUCACUGUGACUUCAGGUAAGAUUUGUAUUUAAUUAACGUUAUUUGUCUGUACCAGUCAUGUUUUUGACAAAUGCAUUGGCAGAAAAAAAAUAAAAAUAAAAUAAAAUUAGUCAUUAUAACAUGUACAACAUUAACAGUUUUUAUUUGCAACAUGAAGUGUAUUUAUUUCUGAUUUCCUGAACAACUUGUCUUCAUUGUAAUGAGGUUAAUGAUCUUUGAAAAACCAUGAUUAUGAACAUACAGUUACUUUGUCUUGAGCUGAUCACCCAACUGUGGUAGUGUUGGUUGAUUGGUGUUUAUAUUUGUUCAAGCUUGACAACCUUAUCGACUUUAUUUUCUAAUAUAUAUUUCUCAUUACAGAUAAGAACAAAGAUUAAAUUGUAAGAAGGGCUGCUUGUAAGAGCAUACAGUACAUCUGAAACUGCUGAGGCUGGGAAGGUUUUUGACUAUAUUUCAGACCAGAUCAGCUGCUAUAGAAGACAAACUGAAAUCUGAGUGUAGAGACAAGGAAAGGAAUACUGCAAGGCACUUGUGCAAAAUAUUGUAUGACAGGACGACAAGGCUGUGCCCAGGUCUCCGGAACCUGCAAUGGCGCUCAGCUCCAUCGGCCCUCCGUCUGCGUCUUCGGGUCCACCAGCUCUAUCUCCAUCGGUCGGCCCCCAGAUGUCGGCAGCCACACCAACUACAUCUUGACUCCUCGCUCCCUCGAUUCCGCCGUGUGUUGUCAGCACUGGGAUGCUUUGGGUCUGUGCCAUGUGCCAAACUCCAUCUAAGCCGCCAGGGCAUCAUCGUCAUCCUCCCAUCACCAUCCCUUCACCACAUCCUGCCAUCAUCCCGCACCUUUGCCUCUCACCAUUCUUACACCAUCUCCUCGUCCACCUCCAAAACCCCCUCCAUUUCUCCCUAUUCUGUUGCUUUAACUUUAUCAUCUUCAGUCUUUGCACACAUAUCUAUUCACUUCUGCACUGUUUUUCUGUAAAUUGUUUUUUUUUUUCUUCAGAAAAUUGCAUUGUAAUUUUUAUUUAUUCAUUGAUGUAAAAUAA